GAGGCCGAUGCAGGAGCUGCAAGACAAAGAGAGGAAAGCGGCGGAUUACAGAAGAGAAAACGAUGUUUGGUGUGAAGGAGAAGAUGAUUCGCAGAACGUGCUCCACUUUUACAGCACAACAGAUGGUGGAGCUCUCAGAAGGCCAGAGCCUCAACAACAUCCAUCUGCUCCAGGAGAAACUGCUCUGGGGGAGAGAGAAGACUGAGGGGGGAAAAAAAGAGAAGAAAAGCAGUACACAGACAGUGUUUGUAGCUUCGGUUCUCUGGCACGGGUUUCUCUUGAAUAAAGCGAGUUGGGUUUUAUUGGUAAACGUGUUUGUGGUCAGUAAGGGCCCUGGAAGCAUCGGUCAAAGCCCGGGGCCAGCGAUCAUCACAUGCUCCGACCAGAGCUGCGCUGUCAACACGAUUGGUAUUUCCAUGGCGAUGAAAUGCCCAGCAGCCAAUGGGAGCGCGAGGUGUGGGAUCUGCUCCGCGGCGGCACCAGAAGCCUCUAGAAGCUUUAGGAGGGAUUCAGACCAUUAAUUGAAUAUUAAUGCAACCUCAGCGCUGACACUGGUGUGAUUAGACUAAUUGAUCAGCUCCCCAUGCCAAGAUGUCUGCCGCCGCCCGCAUCCCAUAAUCCUUCAUUUCCAGGGCCUUUUCAUAUUUGCAUGAUUUCCCCUCAUCUCACAGAUGCUUGUUUAAAUAUUUGUGCACCUGAUGUUAUUUAGAAAUAAUGAGAUGACUAUUACGGGAACACUGGUUCAUGGUGAACUCUGCACCUCGGCUGUUCUCCACGUGAAGAGAAACAGAUAAUGAUGACGGACCUUCAUACUUUUGGGACAAAUCUCAUGAAAAGAAACAAACAAUAGAAGUCCAGGUCACAUUUCACCCUCAAAAACUGAGAUUUAUUUGCAGAAUGGUCAUAAAAACUGUUGGGAGGAUUCCCUUAAAGGAGUAUUUCACCCAAAAUAUAUAAAUGUGCAAACUAAAAAGUUUUUUUUUUUUCCCCAGAACAACAAAAAUUCAGGAUAUUCCAAAUGAAAAAAAAACACACAUGACAAUAAUAGUAUAAUAAAAUAUAAAUACAAAAAAUAUAGUAAUAUAUUUAAAAUAAAUGUAAAUAAAUACAUUUUAUUUAGUUACAUAAAUGCAUUUUAAUAAAUAAUAUAUAGUAAUAUAUAAUAUACAGUUCAUUUACACAAUAUAGAAGUGCUUAUUGGUUUUUAUGCAAUUUUGGCGCUCUCACCAUGAAAUAGUUGGUAACUG
ensembl:lncRNA